rnacentral:rRNA from 1 species
AAUGAACGUUGGCGGCGUGCUUAACACAUGCAAGUCGAGCGAGAAAGGUCUUCGGACUAAGUAAAGCGGCGGACGGGUGAGUAACGCGUGGGAAUCUGCCUUUUAGUGAGGAAUACCCUCGAGAAAUCGAGGUUAAUACUGCAUAAGUCCCGUAAGGGAGAAAGAUGGCCUCUUUGCUGUCGCUAAAAGAUGAGCCCGCGUACUAUUAGCUAGUUGGUGGGGUAAAGGCCUACCAAGGCGAUGAUGGUUAACCGGCCUGAGAGGGUGUACGGUCACACUGGAACUGAGACACGGUCCAGACUCCUACGGGAGGCUG